AUUAGAAGAAAUUUGAUAUGUCUAAAGUAUUAUAUCUCUUUUUUUGGGAAAAAAUUUUAAAUUUUAUUAAUUAAUAAUGAUUAACACAUGACAUUGAACCCAACACCUUAUUAGUCCACACCAAACAAACAAAAAAAAAAGAAAAAACUCAACUCCCUUCCUCGGUCCAACUCGGUAACCCGAGUCCACCCCUAUCAUUACGUAUACCCUUUGUAGGGUUUGUAAAAGGAAACACUUGGCUUUCCUUUUCUUCACCCUUACCAGCUGAAAAAAUGUUGCCGCCGCAUGUCAACACUAGGCUCAUCGCCCUUCUUCAUUGGAUAAUUAACCUUCAUGAUCGCCAUCUUCUUGUUGUUGCUUUAUUAUUUCUCAAGAUUGUGCUCUCUCGUGGAUAAUGUAGGUUCACUAGAAAAUAACACAGGAUCUCGUCUCCUACUACCUUGUCUAUCAACUGGUGAGCUAAGAUGGAGUUGUAACGGCCUGAAAAUUUGAUAAAAUAUGUGAAAUUUGUGAUUUUAUGUAUUUGAUUGUUUUAUCCCUCCCAUAGUUGCAUUGUAGUAUUUUUGGGAUAUGUGAGUGAUUGACACGAUUCCCGAUGCAUUUUGAUAUCUUUAAUGUGAUACUGUGAUUUUUGAUGGCUUAGAGAGCCUUAUUUUA